UACAGAGGGGGCAAGCGUUAUUCGGAAUUAUUGGGCGUAAAGGGCACGUAGGCGGCUUCGCAAGUGGAAGGUGAAAUCCCUCGGCUUAACCGAGGAACUGCCCUCCAAACUGCGUGGCUUGAGUCCGGGAGAGGUGAGUGGAAUUCCCAGUGUAGCGGUGAAAUGCGUAGAUAUUGGGAGGAACACCAGUGGCGAAGGCGGCUCACUGGACCGGAACUGACGCUGAGGCGCGAAAGCGUGGGGAGCGAACGGG
rnacentral:rRNA from 1 species